rnacentral:rRNA from 1 species
CCUACGGGAGGCAGCAGUGAGGAAUAUUGGUCAAUGGCCGAGAGGCUGAACCAGCCAAGUCGCGUGAGGGAAGAAUGUCCUAUGGAUUGUAAACCUCUUUUGUCAGGGAGCAAAGUCACCCACGUGUGGGUGUUUGCAUGUACCCUAUGAAAAAGCAUCGGCUAACUCCGUGCCAGCAGCCGCGGUAAUACGGAGGAUGCGAGCGUUAUCCGGUUUUAUUGGGUUUAAAGGGUGCGUAGGCGGGUUAUUAAGUCAGCGGUAAAAUCGUGGGGCUCAACUCCAUCCAGCCGUUGAAACUUAUGGUCUUGAGUGGGCGAGAAGUAGGCGGAAUGCGUGGUGUAGCGGUGAAAUGCAUAGAUAUCACGCAGAACUCCGAUUGCGAAGGCAGCAUACCGGGGCACGACUGACGCUGAAGCACGAAAGCGUGGGUAUCUAACAGGAUUAGAUACCCUAGUAGUC